ensembl:lncRNA
CUGAGAUUAUGCGUUGGUAAUAUCCCCGUGAUUCAAACACAUGAGUACGUGGCUGCCUGGAGAAGAGGUCUGUGUCCAGUUUAUAUCGCUAUGGUUUUAUUCCUACAGUUGCAUUUGCAAUGGUCACUGUAACAGUUUAUGGUCAGUGGUCAGUGCAGUAGUCUAUCCAUUUCUCGGAGGCAUGUGAAUGCAUCAAGGGCCUGUCAAAAGAAGCUGAGGGAGCUGGAGGGGAAGUUCUGCUGCUGGAGCAGUCUUCUGGAUGGAGCCUUUUCUUCCAGCAGGUUGCUAUGAAGAAGGAAGUGGUAUUGGAGCCCACUCUGGUGUAGCACAUCUGCAUUUUUUCCCAAAUGAAACUCAGACCUUGAAGUCUAUUUCUGAAGGAGUUGUGUUCUCCAAGCAAGAAAUUUGAGCUUGUUUUCAGAGCUGGGCAGUGGCACUAUGGGCACCCCCUCUGGCAGAGGUGCCAAAGAACAACGUGUGGUCCCAAAGCUCCCAGCAGAAGCUGGACACCACCAUGACCCCAGGGGCUUCAGAGAAGACCAUGAAGGCAAGGAUUAGCACGGGAAAGCAAGCACCAUCCACUGGGAAAGCAUUCCUGCAGUAUUUUGAUCUUGCCUGUCACUCCAGCUGCAUUAAAUAGCCCCCAGAGGAGGAACUUGACAAUGCUGAGAUGGAUACACUUCACAGCAACACGUGGGGAAUUGUGUGGCACGACAGUGGAGCACACUGAAUAUUUGCCAACCUCACCACUCAUCUCUUGCCUCAGUUUGCCUUUAUCUCCUUGCCACAAACUGAUAUCUCCAAAACCCUCCCUACUCUGGGUAGGCUUUGUUAGGCCUUCCGGCCUAAAUAACAGGAUUUACAGUUGUGGUGACAACCAUUUUAAAAUAUAUAUUAAAAGCAGCGGAGGGGAAAACUCUGGAGGGAAAUCAGAAUAUUCUGAUUUAUGUCAGGGAAAAAAAAAAAAAGAAAUCAUCUAAAAGGAGAAAAAGAACAAGUGCUAAUGCUGUCUGGAGAAGGCAGCCUUGCUUAGACGUGUUUUUCCUAUAUGGAAUAACAAAUCCAGAAAGGAGCAUCCAGGGAAAAUUAGGUAUUAAUAAAGACUAUGAAGGUACUGCAUCAGCUGCUGCCAACUCCUAUGCUGUAUGAAGACUCAGCAAACCUAAAAGGUGACAAAUUGUAAGAUGGGUAACAGGAGAUGCAUUGAUUGCAGAAUGAAGUUAUGUGUGUACAGGAAAUGUAUUUACGACAGAGUAAUGUUAUUUGUGAGAGUUUUGCAGACUAUCGUUGAGAACAAGAGUUAGCUUAAGUCUUAAAUAGGAUUAGAGUGGGAAAAAGAGACUAAUUAGAGGCUCUUGCUUUUAUUAUCUCUCUCACAUUUGAGGGAUAGGAUUCCACUAGCUUCGGGGCGUGCAGCAACCUCAGAAGGCCCUUGACUAGAAGUAGCUUCUUGUCAGCACAGUUUUCAGGGCAUCUCUUCAGUUUGUAAUGUCCCACCUCACAUCUGGGGCAUCAUCCAUCUCCUGGUUGUUGUCUGCAUUUCUACUGCCAUUUCUGCUAUAGGGAAGAAAUCGCACUUCCUCUGGUGCCACCAUAUCCCAGAUGUCUUCUUCUUCAGUCUUUCCAUGGUGGUUCCUCUUCAGGAUCUGUCAGCACAUGGGCAGUGGUUUCUGGCACAUUGGAGAACCCCAUGUUGGCUCCCCAAGCCGUGGAGGUCUGCACUUCCAGCACCCCAGUUCUCGAUGCUGUGUUCAUAGGGAGAUAUUUAGGCACUCUUCACCAAUCUUCUCCUGAAGGUGUGGGAAGUUCCCUCUUGUUGACUUGCUCACCUGCCUCCUGUGGGCACAUCCCCCUGAAGAAUGAUUGACCACACUUUUGCCAGGAGACAGGAACAAGCCAAAGGUCAGAAGCAUUUGCUCUCCAGGGAGUACUGUGUACUAAGUACAGGUGCCUCGAGUACAGAAAGACUUCAAAAGGUAUUUAAUUUUCCCUGCCAAAUCCAUGCUUUAAUACAUCUAAGCUGCUCCAAUGUAUAAUUUGGUCAAAUGACAACCACAGAAAAGAACGUGGUGAUUAUAGACAGAACUUUGCAUGGUAUAAAUGUCAAGGAAGGAGGAGUGGUGGUGAUGGUGCCAGUUUGAUAGCCAGGAGUACUCAAGCAAAUUUGAGAAACGGAAAAGUUGGGGUCAAUACAAGGAACGAAAACAUAAGCUAAAUAAAGCAGCCUAAAAUAAGUAACUGCAUCAAGCCCAAGAAACCAAACAAAACCUUUCCUCCAAGCAGUUAUUUUGAAAGAGGAGAAGUACCACCUACUGCCAGCUCUCUGUGAGCUUCACACUUGUUGAGGAUUUUUUUUAUAUGGGAACCACCCAAAAAAUGACGGUGAUGGUGGCUGCCACAGGGAAAGAGCCAACAAGAGUCACUGCUUGACCGGAAUAAUUCCCAAAAGGGAGAGGCUGAACCCCCUUAAAAGCAAUAAAUAUAAAGUGAACAGAAAGCUGGCAUGUGCAGUACAUGACGCAUGUAGCAGCACAGCCUUCUGUUGGGCAUUGCACGUAGAGGGCAGACAUCAUCAUUUGCUGUUACUAAAAUAAAAAGCCUAUAAAAAGUACU